CGGGGUGUGGCGCAGGGGGAGCGCGCCUGUUUUGGGAACAGGAGGUCGAAGGUUCAAAUCCUUUCACCCCGACCA
rnacentral:tRNA from 2 species